GUCGGAGUGGCGAAAUGGUAGACGCGCUAGCUUCAGGAGCUAGUGGUGGCAACACUUUGGGGGUUCAAGUCCCCCCUCCGACA
rnacentral:tRNA from 1 species